AUUUAAUAAUUGCAAAUCAUUUUUUCCUACUGGAAUAUUUUGGGGAAUUAAGCAAAAUAAUUUCUCUACAGUUCACUGGUCAGCACAUACACCGACCAGAGCAGCAUCGACUGGAAGGUUGGACUGGAUAUUGAGAAGCUUGGCAACCUGGAGUUUGGAGGAACAAGAUCUACAGCAUACAACUUUGCUGUAACCAAGAAGAGGGAGGACCGCUACACCUUCAGCACACAUAUAAUCACCUGUAAACAUUAUAGUUACCGUGUGUCCAACAGCCCUCCUCUCAGUGCUGAGUUCAGUAAAGAUGUGGCCAGACUCCCAGCUACCUACAGCAAUGCAACCAAAGCCCAGUACAGACACUUCAUAGACACAUACGGCACACAUUAUAUUCGCCAGGUGAUAAAAUUAAUAUACACAUCCCUUUAAUUUUU